rnacentral:tRNA from 1 species
UCCCUGGUGGCUCAGGCGGUAAAGCGUCUGCUUGCAAUGCAGGAGACCUGGGUUCGAUCCCUGGGUUGGGAA